UAGUAAUUAGUUUAAAUCAAAACAAAUGAUUUCGACUCAUUAAAUUGUGAUUCAUUUCACAAUUACUA
rnacentral:tRNA from 1 species